ACAAGGGUAGGAGAAUUAAACUGCUGCCUAGCAACAGGAGGCCGGAGAGACAGGUCCCACCCACAGACCACACACAGAAGAAGAUAAACAGCAGUUUGUUUCAAUUUGGAAGCUGUGAAGUUCAGUUGGUGUUUUUUGAAAGUUGCUGCCAGGAGAGACUGGAGCAAGGGGGACAGAUAGCCAGUCCCAAGCUAAAGAAAAACUUCAAAACCCAGGGGAAUGUAAGAGGGGAAAGUCCAAAGAAGAUGUUCUGGUCAAAGGAAGAUUAGGAACCUGGAAAAGGUCCUGUUAAAUGAGGUUAAGAGUAAGGGGCCAAGGGAAAGUCUCCAAGCUUCGGAUUUAAAGAGACAAAAGCUACAGAAAGUAGAUUUAAAACGAGAACAGUUGGCAAGAGGCAAGUCCAAAGAAACAACUGAAGGAAAGAAUGUUAAUCUGCCUUCGUGAUGUGGAGAGCCACUCCCUGACAACACUCAUUCCAAACCCUGAGGCUUCUCACUACGGCUGAAUGCACCACACCAUGAGGAGCUGAGACCCUGAGACCAGGAAGAUCCCAGGUUGCUUGCUGCAGACAUAGAGAGGUGCUGAAGAAGGUGCAAUAAAGAUUUCUGAGGAUGAUACCAGAACGGAGAGGUUGUAAAUAUCAGGAAUAAGUGAACAGGCUGGGGUUCUCUUCUCUAGAAGGCAGAAGGCUGAGGAUGACAUGGUUUCACCGGGGUGGUGUUGAUGGCAAGUGGGAAAACCCCCUUGGAUCUGUCGGAUAAGUAUUUAAAGGUGCUUGACUAGGGCAGGAAGAGAUCUUGGGGAUAGUGCCACUUCCUACUUAUCUACUGCUGGCAAAGUGGGAGUGACGUCAACCCAAAGGCUGAGACAAGCUACAAAAUGUGGUUGUUGCAAAAUGCCAUGCCACCAAUCUUCACUUCUCUGCAAACACGAGAACGAGGAAAAUGAAACCAAUAAAAAGCAGACAUGAGCUAAAAGCAAAACAGUAAGGGCUCGAGAUUAUAUAAGAUGCACAAAUAUGAAAAUCCCACUUCUGCUACAAUGAAGCACUUACAAGUAUGCAAUUAACAGCAUGUAAAUGUUUUCUCCUGUUUCCAAAAUAAAGAACCCUGAC